GGGUGAGUAACGCGUAUGCGACCUGCCCGUUGCAGGGGGAUAAUCGGGAGAAAUCCCGUCUAAUACCGCGUAACGCCGCGGGGCUGCAUGGCCCUGCGGCCAAAGGGAGCGAUUCCGGCAACGGAUGGGCAUGCGUGACAUUAGCUAGUUGGCGGGGCAACGGCCCACCAAGGCGACGAUGUCUAGGGGUUCUGAGAGGAAGGUCCCCCACACUGGUGCUGAGACACGGACCAGACUCCUACGGGAGGCAGCAGUGAGGAAUAUUGGUCAAUGGGCGCGAGCCUGAACCAGCCAAGUCGCGUGAGGGAUGACGGCCCUACGGGUUGUAAACCUCUUUUGUCGGGGAGCAAAUUCCGCCACGUGUGGCGGAGUCGAGAGUACCCGAAGAAAAAGCAUCGGCUAACUCCGUGCCAGCAGCCGCGGUAAUACGGAGGAUGCGAGCGUUAUCCGGAUUUAUUGGGUUUAAAGGGUGCGUAGGCGGACUGUCAAGUCAGCGGUAAAAUACGGGGGCUCAACCUCCGCCCGCCGCUGAAACUGACGGUCUUGAGUGGGCGAGAAGUAUGCGGAAUGCGUGGUGUAGCGGUGAAAUGCAUAGAUAUCACGCAGAACUCCGAUUGCGAAGGCAGCAUACCGGCGCCCAACUGACGCUGAAGCACGAAAGCGUGGGUAUCGAACAGGAUUAGAUACCCUGGUAGUCCACGCAGUAAACGAU
rnacentral:rRNA from 1 species